rnacentral:tRNA from 1 species
GCAGCGGCGGUUCAGUGGUAGAAUCCUCACCUUCCAUGCAGGAGACCUGGGUUCGAUUCCCGGCCAAUGCA